rnacentral:rRNA from 2 species
ACGGGAGGCAGCAGUGGGGGAUAUUGCACAAUGGGGGGAACCCUGAUGCAGCGACGCCGCGUGAGUGAAGAAGUAUUUCGGUAUGUAAAGCUCUAUCAGCAGGGAAGAUAAUGACGGUACCUGCAUAAGAAGCCCCGGCUAACUACGUGCCAGCAGCCGCGGUAAUACGUAGGGGGCAAGCGUUAUCCGGAUUUACUGGGUGUAAAGGGAGCGUAGACGGAAGAACAAGUCUGAAGUGAAAUCAUAGGGCUCAACCCUGUAAUUGCUUUGGAAACUGUUUAUCUUGAGUACCGGAGGGGCAGGCGGAAUUCCUGGUGUAGCGGUGAAAUGCGUAGAUAUCAGGAAGAACACCGGUGGCGAAGGCGGCCUGCUGGACGGUAACUGACGUUGAGGCUCGAAAGCGUGGGGAGCAAACAGGAUUAGAUACCCUGGUA